CGCCGCCCGGCCCCGCCCCUCGCCGGCCUGCGUCAAAGGCGGGCGGCCGCGGUUGAGGGCAUCGUGGGCCGUGGGGUUUCUCCCACUGGUCCGCGGGGCUGGUCCGGACCGGGACUCAGGGCCGCAGGCGGCGCUGUCUCAUCACCGCUGAGGCGCGAAGAACGGCCGCCCCGAGCACCGCACGGUAGUGGACAAGCAGCGCGGAGGCACGAAUGUCACCAUGAUCAGUGGGGACACAAGGGCGCCAGACAGAUACGCGGGCACCCUGAGCCGGCAUGAAAGUGGAGACAUGCUAGUUAGGAGCAGGGAGAGAUGGGAAGAUGAAGACCAGCAAUCAAUCAAUCAAUCAAUCCAGCAAGAUGAUUCAGCAGAGUCCUGGCACAGCCCUGUCGCACCUCUCAGGGGAGCUGAGAGAAAGGGGUUAAGAAACCUCACUUGCGGGGUGCCUGGGUGGCUCAGUUGUUAAGCGUCAUCUGCCUUCGGCUCAGGUCAUGAUCCCAGGGUCCUGGGAUCCAGGCCCACAUUGGGCUCCCUGCUCUGCGGGAAGCCUGCUUCUCCCUCUCCCACUCCCUCUGCUUGUGUUCCCUCUCUUGCUGUGUCUCUCUCUGUCAAAUAAAUAAAUAAAAUCUUAAAAAAAAAAAAAAAGAUGGGGCGCCUGGGUGGCUCAGAUGGUUAAGCGUCUGCCUUCAGCUUAGGUCAUGAUCCCAGGGUCUUGGGAUGGAGCCCCACAUUGGGCUUCCUGCUCAGCAGGGGGCCUGCUUUCCCCCCACCCCCGGCUCUGCUUCUCCCCCUGCUCAUAUUCUCUCUCUCUCUCUCUCUCUCUCUAUUUCUGUGUCUCGAAUGAAUAAAUAAAAAAAUCUUUAAAAAAAAAAAAAAGAAAGAAAUCUCACUUGGAAGGUAAGCUUGUCUCUUCUGGGGUAGGGCUCCUUCAUCACCUAGAUGAGAUCUGGCCAUGGACAGCAGGAGGGGGCGGGUGACAGGCAAGGUUCAAUUUGAUCACAAAUCUAAAAAAAAAAAAAAAUUUUAUUUUUAAGUAAUCUCUACACCCAACAUGGGGCUCAAACUCAUGCCCAUGAGAUCAAGAGUCACAUACUCCUCUGACUGAGCCAGCCAGGCACCCCACAAAUCUACUUUUUUAAUGCAUGUUCUUAAAAACCUGAAGGAAAUAUACCAAAAUUAUAGUAGACAUUACAGAUGAUUUCCCCUAUCCAUGCUAGUCCUAUGAAUUUAAAAUUAAUCUUGGGGCCUGGGUGGCUCAGUCAGUUAAGCAUCCAACUCUCGAUCUUGGCUCAUAUCAUGAUCUCAGGUUCCUGGGAUCAAGUCUCAUAUUGGGCUCCACACUCACCGGGGAGUCUGCUUGGGAUUUUCUCUCUCCUCUCCCUGUGCACCCCUGCCCCACUCAUGUGCUCACUCUCUCUCUCUCAAAUAAAUAAAUAAAAUGGCAUCUUGUCUUAUUUGAACUUAA